rnacentral:misc_RNA from 1 species
GGCGGAGUCAGACGUAGAGCUUAGCUUAUCAGUUGGCGAGUACAUUGUUGUAAGAAAGGUAUCCAAUAAUGGGUGGGCUGAGGGUGAAUGCAAAGGCAAAGCAGGCUGGUUCCCGUACGGAUAUAUCGAAAAACGGGAACGCGUGCUCGCUAGCAAAAUUGCCGAAGUUUUCUAAGAUUGUUGUAUGAUAUUUACCUCUCUGGAUUAUGGUUGAGUGUUGUUUUUUUCAUGCCCCCAGUUUAAAUUUAUAUUUGUAAUGCUUGUCAUUUAUAUAUUGUCGCUCUUUUGAUCUCACUCUAACGAUUGCCUGUUGGGUCUGGUUUUUGUAGUAUAAACUUGCUGAAAUUCUUGAUUUUGUUAAU